rnacentral:rRNA from 1 species
GCUAAUACCGCAUAACAAUGGAUGACACAUGUCAUUUAUUUGAAAGGGGCAAUUGCUCCACUACAAGAUGGACCUGCGUUGUAUUAGCUAGUAGGUGAGGUAAUGGCUCACCUAGGCGACGAUACAUAGCCGACCUGAGAGGGUGAUCGGCCACACUGGGACUGAGACACGGCCCAGACUCCUACGGGAGGCAGCAGUAGGGAAUCUUCGGCAAUGGGGGCAACCCUGACCGAGCAACGCCGCGUGAGUGAAGAAGGUUUUCGGAUCGUAAAGCUCUGUUGUAAGUCAAGAACGGGUGUGAGAGUGGAAAGUUCACACUGUGACGGUAGCUUACCAGAAAGGGACGGCUAACUACGUGCCAGCAGCCGCGGUAAUACGUAGGUCCCGAGCGUUGUCCGGAUUUAUUGGGCGUAAAGCGAGCGCAGGCGGUUUGAUAAGUCUGAAGUUAAAGGCUGUGGCUCAACCAUAGUUCGCUUUGGAAACUGUCAAACUUGAGUGCAGAAGGGGAGAGUGGAAUUCCAUGUGUAGCGGUGAAAUGCGUAGAUAUAUGGAGGAACACCGGUGGCGAAAGCGGCUCUCUGGUCUGUAACUGACGCUGAGGCUCGAAAGCGUGGGGAGCGAACAGGAUUAGAUACCCUGGUAGUCCACGCCGUAAACGAUGAGUGCUAGGUGUUGGAUCCUUUCCGGGAUUCAGUGCCGCAGCUAACGCAUUAAGCACUCCGCCUGGGGAGUACGACCGCAAGGUUGAAACUCAAAGGAAUUGACGGGGGCCCGCACAAGCGGUGGAGCAUGUGGUUUAAUUCGAAGCAACGCGAAGAACCUUACCAGGUCUUGACAUCCCGAUGCUAUUUCUAGAGAUAGAAAGUUACUUCGGUACAUCGGUGACAGGUGGUGCAUGGUUGUC